AUUGAACGCUGGCGGCAGGCCUAACACAUGCAAGUCGAACGAGUGGCGGACGGGUGAGUAAUGUCUGGGAAACUGCCUGAUGGAGGGGGAUAACUACUGGAAACGGUAGCUAAUACCGCAUACCAUCAGAUGUGCCCAGAUGGGAUUAGCUAGUUGGUGGGGUAACGGCUCACCAAGGCGACGAUCCCUAGCUGGUCUGAAAGGAUGACCAGCCUGACUGGAACUGCGUGACGGUCCAAAUUCCUACAGAAGGCAGCAGUGUGGAAUAUUGAACAAUGGCCGAAAGCCUCAGGCAGCCAUGCCGCGUGUAUGAAGAAGGACUUCGAGUUGUACAGUACUUUCAGCGGGGAGGCGUUACCCGCAGAAGAAGCACCGGCUAACUCCGUGCCAGCAGCCGCGGUAAUAC
rnacentral:rRNA from 1 species